CCUACGGGAGGCAGCAGUGAGGAAUAUUGGUCAAUGGCCGCAGGCCUGAACCAGCCAAGUCGCGUGAGGGAUGACGGUCCUUUGGAUUGUAAACCUCUUUUGUCAGGGAGCAAAGGGCGCCACGUGUGGCGUUUUGCGAGUACCUGAAGAAAAAGCAUCGGCUAACUCCGUGCCAGCAGCCGCGGUAAUACGGAGGAUGCGAGCGUUAUCCGGAUUUAUUGGGUUUAAAGGGUGCGCAGGCGGAAGGUCAAGUCAGCGGUAAAAUUUCGGGGCUCAACCCCGUCGUGCCGUUGAAACUGGCGUUCUUGAGUGAGCGAGAAGUAUGCGGAAUGCGUGGUGUAGCGGUGAAAUGCAUAGAUAUCACGCAGAACUCCGAUUGCGAAGGCAGCAUACCGGCGCUCAACUGACGCUCAUGCACGAAAGCGUGGGUAUCGAACAGGAUUAGAUACCCCAGUAGUC
rnacentral:rRNA from 1 species